rnacentral:lncRNA from 1 species
AGAGUGCAAAGUACCAGGCACUGACAGUGGUUUCAGUUAUGAAAGGAUUUAAAUGUUUGCCAAAAAAAAACCCUAAAGAACAAUCCAAACUCUUUUCUAAAUAAACCUUUGUACUGUUAAAACCUUCUGAAUCAUGAUUUUGCUCAAGGGAUUAAGUCAAACAAAGCAAGGGGUUUUCUUUUUCCUUGGAGGGGUCUUUGCCUAUAGAUCUGGAUGGGAAAUAUUUUUCCUAUUUUCCCAUAGUUUUUGAUUAGUCAGUGAGACAAACCUGGGAAUCUUGCAUUUUUUAAUGAAAUAUGAAAAAGAAUAUAUAUACCCCAUGACCUCAUUUCCUCCUGCUGGAUCACCAGGCAGUAAAUUCCCACUCCAUCCUUCUCAGAUCAGUGACCUAAGGACCUUGCUGUCCUGGAGCAGAUAGUGAAAAAAAAAAAUCAUUCUGGUGAACUUGCCUAACGUUUUUUGAGAUAAAAUUUUUUAAAAAUCAAGUUUCCACUUCUAUGUGCCCAGGGGAACUUUUCCUUCCCUUUUUUUCAGUCUCCUUUCAAACGCUAAUCUCAGGGCUGAAUGCAUACUCCUCAUUCUCAGGCAGGCGGCUGAAGGCAUUCUGAUAUGCAGGUUUUCAGAUGAAGAGCAAUCACCCCACUACUAAAGUCUUUAAAUCCUUCAUAUUUACAGUCUUAGAUCAACUAAAUCCUUUAUAUUUAUUUUUUAAUGAGAAGCAUACAUUGCAGAUUGUCAGUGGUGUAUGUGAACAAAUCUCAAAAGGAGGUGCAGCUGUUCCAAACCUUUGGUGUUAAUGUUGCUUGCUUUCCCUUCUUGUGUUUGCUUUUCUAGUUUAUGAUUUUAGAGCAUUUCCUGGGAAGAGAGGCAGAAGAGGGGAGAAUAGUUUGAAAAGUUAUGAAUCAAACCAUAUUUCCCAUGGGUUUAUAAAAUGUCAUAAAGUGCAAUGAACAAAAUGAGAGAAAGGGACUGGUGUCUGUACAUUCACCACUGAGUGCAUACCAAGUGUAAGAGUGAGCUGAGCAUUUACAUCCUUUCUUCAUCUGUGCUGCUGCAAGGUGUAUAUUCUGUUUAUGCCGCAAAUACUGCUCCUUUCUAUGUUUAUCACUCCUUCCAUAGACAGCAGGAUUUGGCACCUGCCUCAAAUGCACCUUUCCAUAGCAAACAGUUCUUGGGAAAAGAGUGAAAUCUAAUCACAUAUAACAGACUUCUUUAAACAGCUGAAUUGAAUCUAUAUUAAGGAACCAUCAGAAACCCCCUUCCUUAGUCCCUCUGUUCUGUCUGAAAGGUGUCUGUAUCCUCUUCUUGUGAAUUCUGUGUGGCAUGAGGAAAAGGGAUAGAGCAGUCACUUUGUUUCAUUAGUUUUUCAUAGUAAGCAUUUGGUUCUCUUAACCCUGGAAAAGGAGACUGUUUGUGGCUGAGGUUCUGGUUGUUCCUUCAAUAGACUAAGUCAAAUUCAGGUGAGAGUUCUGCUGAAGUAGGGAUUAGAUUGAACCAAAGGCAUUAGAACUUUGCUGGAUUUCACUAAGUAAACUGAAAUAAUUUCAAAGUCCUAAAUCUGUAAUGUAUUGGAUGCUAUCUUGAAAUAAGGCUCAGAGUGUGAAAAGAUUUGAGCUUUGUUUAAAUAACAAAUGGUCUGGUACAAAUGCAUACGUGAGACAGAUAAAGGAGAAAUAAAAAUAGCAACUGAGAGGAGAAAAUUACAAGCCAUUUCUCUUCUGCAAAAUGGAGAGCUCUUAUUAAAGUUACAUCAAGAAAAGCUGAAACUAGCUCUUAUUAUUAUUAGGUACCAAUGUAGCUAAAAAGCUCAGGUUUGUUUACUCUGAAGAAACUAUAUAACCACAAGAACAACCAAAGCACCAUAUGGUACCUGGCUACUACCUCUGAGCUCCUGGACAGCUUCAUUAGAGGUACCCAUCCCUGCCAAGUGAAGGUCUGCUUUUGUCACUUCAUGCUCCCUUAGAGGGGUUUCCCAGUCUGCAGACUCACAGUGGUUUCACUGUUGUGCUGCUUUUGAAAUGAGCUCUGUUACCUGUAAACACAGUCCUUCCCCCUUUGUUUUCCCUGUAGAAUUCAAGUAGUCUAUGGAAAUGAAAUUCUGACAGUCAGAUUUUAGUGGGCAUAAAAUAUAUAUGGAAUGACUGAUGUGCCUUAAAAGUAAGUUCUUUGCAGUAAAAGUAUUCUGUGGUCAUUAUAAACAUUAAAGAAAUAAUGCUUCAAUUUUUUUUUUUUUUCAGUUCCGAAAGGUUUAAAGGGAUUGAUGCAGAUACUUAAUAUCUAUGAUCAGCAACAUAGCUAAAACCAGGGUAUUUCUAUGGUUUUAAUUUUUCUCAUUACAGUUACUCAUCUGAUUCAAUGCCUCAAGAGAGUCUUAUUUCUUCUGAGCUAAAUAAAAAGUAAUAUUCAUUAAUAAAGAUGUGCAGUUUACACCCCUUUUAAGUGCAUUUCCCUCUAAAUUAGUGAAUACAAAGGAUUUCUAUAAAAUUGUUUUUAAUGUAACUACUGCAUAUGCUUCAAGUAAAAUGGGGCUGAUUUACUUUUUUAAAUACAGUGGUCUCUUAUUACUUGUAAUAGCUGAAGACUGGAAUUUGUAACAUACUGUGUGGUGUUAACUUUCCAUAAAAAGUUUUCAGCUCUGCUACUCACACUGUGGUUGUGCUUCAACUGUAAGCUGGCUAAUAGUGUAUACAGGAGAAAAAUAGUCUCUGCAGCUUUGGCUUAAGAAAAAGGGAGAAGAUAUAUAAAAUGUGCUGAGUUGUUUCUUUGAUCAGAUAUGAUAAACCACUUGAAACAUUCACUCUCUACUGUUGUGGAAAAGUGAAAUAUUGCUACUAAGCCAUAUCGAUUUUAACAAGUACUUGAUCUUUAACACUUCAUUUGCUCAUUUCACCAUGAAGAAAAACUUCUGUCAGUCAUAAGCGAGAUGUUGAUGUUUCAUUUUCAAUUUUCCACAUGGUGCUAUUGUUGGUUGGGUAUUGAAAUAUCGAACAGUGUAACUUAGCUGGGAUGGGAACUCAGUGCUGCUGUCCUUCAGCCACCUCUGUGGGAGUUUUGCGUGAGAGAGAGAUGCAGAAUUAGCCUCUUCAGGGCUUGAGGCAGAUGGAAGGGGCCUUAUAAAUAGGAGAUGUGGCAGGAUCACAGCUUUAAAUCGUUGUUGGAAAUAAGAAUCAGGCCCUUGUUCUGUGCGAUCUCUGCUGACAAAAGUCAUGUUGCUGCAAGAGCACUGGUGAUUUCUGACAAGCAGAUCUGAGGUGAAAGUCUCUGUGCAGCUUUGCACACAUUGGCCUCUAUCAUCCUUUGUGAGUAAACCCAGAAAACUUGAGUGGAAUUUAUUUGUGAGUCAGAAGAUACUCACCGUGGGCAAGGACUUUAGGAGCUUCCUUAAACGUUGCCUCUUUUUUAGUAAACAUGCCGGAGGAAUUUAAGCAAAUGUUGUGCGUAAAUGUAGGAGAACAGAAGGAAUGCAAUCCUCUCUGCUCUGGACUACUGUUCAAGCCCCUAGAAGAUGUGGAUGAGGAGUUUUUUUGACUGUAUAUUUUUAGUAUAAGCUGUGUGAAGAGCAUUAUGUGAUUGCAUUUGUUUUUCAGAGAAUAAAACUGUUGGUCUGUGAGGGUUGGUACUGGCUAGAACAGCUUCUGAGAAUUGUAAGGAUUUUGUAGGAAGUGUUGGUAAUGAAAUCCAUUUCAGGAGAAGGUUCUGACCUUAAACUAUGACUGCUCUCAGGGAGAGAACUAUCUACAAGCUGUGCAAAAGGAUGACCAGAUGCUAUCAGUGAGUUUGUUUUUAUGGUUGCUCAUUAUGACCUUGUUGGUGAGCAGAAAGCAACUAGAUGAUUUAGAGAAAAAGCUCUAAUUUGAAAGUGGAACAGUGCAUGAGGAAAUGGCUACCCACAACACUGAGGACAUUCAUAUUUGCAUGCCUUCUGUCUACUGUGGACAGGUACAGUAGAGAAAGCUGCAUUUUUCAUUUCACAAUAGGUAAUGUUAAUUUGUGUUCCAGAUCUGUGGGUCACCUGGGCCAUACAAAAGAUGUCUCAGCAGAAAGCAGAGAGAGGAUUACUCACUUCACUGUUCAAAGCUUAAAUUUGUCAUUUGUCCUUGAAAUUAAGCCAAAAAUAAGGUUUGGCACUUGGACCCAAAGGCUAUGUAGCAUCAAUAAUGGUACACUGAAUAUAGUCUAGUUUUAGCAAAAAUCAUCAGUUCAUAUUAUACACCCUGCACAUCUCUGUUUCAGGGCAGAAGUAGGAGAGUCUGACACGUAAGUCAUGUGAGAAAGGAAUAAUCAGCAGUUUGAAGAGUCACAGGUAUAUUGAAAAAUAUACCUAGAUCCUAUUCUGAUAACAGAAAAGGACUGGGGAGGUAGAAAACAAGGAAAUAGUAGUAAUGCUGCAACUCAAGAAAGCAAAAAGUGGCAAAUUGCUCAGAGUCAUGUCUGGAUCUUUAUGCCAGCCCCACUCCAGCGGGGUUGGGAACUGUUAGUGGGUUUUGUAGGAAAGGCUGAGGUGUCUUCAACUCACAGUGACUAUCACACUUGAUCUGAACUAAGGAAAUACCUACAGUUGGUACACUGCCUUGGUUUCAAGUGGCAGACCUUAGAGUGCUACAGAAGACGUUUUAAGUAGUUUAUCUCUCCUCUGGCACAUGUUCUUCACUAUCCCAAACAUUUUUAAAUUCAAUUACACAACAGUUGAUAAGGUAGAGAAAGAUUGUCAAUAUCUUACAGAAAAGAAAGAGGCAUGGAAAAUAGUAGGUAAUAAAACCCUGUGUCUUAGUCCAGAUAUAACAUCUUACCAUAAUACCAGUCUUCCCCCCCCCCCCACCUUUUCUUUUGGAAAACAGAAAUUAAUGCAAAACUUUAGAAGCUUGUUUUAAAUAGCCUACACCAAUUAUACUGUUUACACUAGGAAAAAAAAGCUUUUCUGUCAGUAAGUAGCCUUCUGCUGUAAAGCAAUUUUCUUUACUACACUUGUCUGAAAAAUCUAAUGAAAAGUAGAACUGCACUUAAUUCAAUUUGUCUAUAUGUACCUCUCUUAACAAAAAUGCUUUAUUAACGGUCCUGAAUGUAAAGGACACAAAUGAAAUAUAGCUGCCUGCUGCAUCAAAAUCAAUUAGUUGUGUUUCAGCAUUUUUGUGAACAGCAGUCAUUCAUUUUGCAUGAUGCUGUUUCCUGAUAGCCCUCUGCUGACAGAGAAAGCUGUUCACCCUGUUGACAACAGGAAUAAAAUGAGGAUUCAUAUUUGCCUCCAUUAACUCUGUUAAGUGUCCUCUAAUACACUAAAAAGCAGUCUGCUAGAAGUAGGUCUUUUGGUGUGAUAUCUAGUAAGUGACAUGGAUCAGAGAAUUAAUAACCUGAUGGGUUCCAAGACGUACAGCACCCUUAACUGAGAGGCUCACCCUAGGCUGCAGGGACAUGCUUCACUUGCUUUUGUUCUCUAUGCCUUUGACCCAACAUUGCAAAUUACUUGCUCAGUAGUGGAAUAUUUUCAGCACACUAUCCCUUUCAACCUCAUCUGCUGGAGUAAGAAAUUAAUACUGAGGUCUCCCACUUCCUCACUGAGUGCUUUGGCCGAUAGACUAUUUAUAUAGGUGAUGCAGCUAAAAUGCCUUUCCUUUUGGCACAUAAAUGUUUUAUUUGAUCGAGCUUUUUAUCUUUCAGUAGACUAACACUCUUGUUCCACAAGGACAUUCUCUAUCUGGAAAGCAAACAUAUGUCAAAUACUUGGAGGAAUAUUAGAAAUCCUGAAAAACCCCAGCCAGUCCAGGUAAAUUUUGAAAGAAAACACCACAAAGCUGAACAAAGAAAAAAGCUUAAUCUUGUCUCUAGUGGGGUUGCCCUACCUGAGAGCCCCUGCUACUCUGAUGUGCCUCUGAUCAGAUUUGGUGCAGUGUGUGGAGCUUUUCUGUUGGACCCCUGGAGCUGUACUGAGAGGAGCAAUUUCAAGUGUCCAGCAAAGAUUAGAGAAGUUAAACACAUGCUUAUUGAAUCAUUUCACAUUAUAGCAGACACUCUCACUUUGGCUUCCUGUUCCCUUUUUGCACUCUUUAAAUUAGCCCUUGCUUUCAAUCUGACUGCCAUACACAGCCUGUGCCUGCAGUGUCUUUCCAUAAAAUGCCUCAGUGUCUGACCUGCAGAGGGUUGAUGACACCCUCCUCCUCAGCUCUGCUGGAAAGGUUCUCCAGAAGACUCUCCAUGAAGUGCUUCCAUGUGGUACUGUGCUAUAUAUGAGUACCUGGAAUAACAGGAGUUACUGCAAGUUCUUGACUGACUCCAAGCCACACUGUUUUAUCACCAAUAAAAGCUUGUGUGCA